AUUGAACGCUGGCGGCAGGCUUAACACAUGCAAGUCGAACGAGUGGCGGACGGGUGAGUAAUGUCUGGGAAACCGCCUGAUGGAGGGGGAUAACCACUGGCAACCGUAGCCAAUACCGCCUACUCUCAGUUUUGCCCAGAUGGGAUUGGCUUGUUGGGGGGGUAAUGGCUCACCAAGGCGACGAUCCCUGGCGGGUCUGAGAGGAUGACCGGCCACACUGGAACUGGGACACGGUCCGGACUCCUACGGGAGGCAGCAUUGGGGAAUAUUGCACAAUGGGCGCAAGCCUGAUGCAGCCAUGCCGCGUGUAUGAAGAAGGCCUUCGGGUUGUAAAGUACUUUCAGCGGGGAGGCGUUACCCGCAGAAGAAGCACCGGCUAACUCCGUGCCAGCAGCCGCGGUAAUUC
rnacentral:rRNA from 1 species